UGCACCAGCUGCAAGCUGUUAGUGAUGAUACUUGGCAUAUAAAGUGAACACAACCACGAAUCAACAUGGAGUGUGCAUACUGAAGUGAAAUGGAAUGCAGCUUGUUCUACUUCCAGAAGUAUGUAGCUGUCACUGAAGGACCAUGGCUGACCAACUGAAGAGAAGAAACAGAACAAGCCAGGCUACUUAUGUUUUGCAAAGUGACACAGAUUGGUUGCUAUUGUUACUUCAGAUUUGCAUGAUAAUCAUGCAGCUUGA
rnacentral:lncRNA from 1 species